rnacentral:rRNA from 1 species
ACGAACCGUGCGAACGUUGUUCGGAAUCACUGGGCUUAAAGGGCGCGUAGGCGGCCGGGUUGGUCGUGGGUGAAAUCCCCCAGCUCAACUGGGGAAUUGCCUACGAUACUGCCUGGCUCGAGGGAGGAAGGGGCGGCCGGAACUGUCGGUGGAGCGGUGGAAUGCGUUGAGAUCGACAGGAACGCCGGUGGCGAAAGCGGGCCGCUGGCCCUCUUCUGACGCUGAUGCGCGAAAGCCAGGGGAGCGAACGGGA